AUCAAAUAAUAAAACAAAGACGCAAAUUGUUAUACAUAGUCAGAUUCUACUUGUAGCCAUUAUGUGUAGGUAUAAUUCGUUAACAGUAUCAAACAAUAAAACAAAGAUAUAAAAUAGUUACUAUAUAGAGAGAGAUUCACUUCUAAGCAUUGACCUCAAUAACUUACUUCUCCUCAGCUGUGGAAAUACAGUCCCACCACUCUACUCUCUCAGGAUGGCAGUCAAAGUUUCACAAGAAUUCUAGUUAUUAUACCUUCUCCACAUCACAAGUGAAAUUCAGUUCUCAGGAAAUGCCUCUUCAGUCUUUUUCCAAAAUGACAGUCAACUCCCUUCUGUCAGUCUCUCAGGAAAGAAGUUGUUUUAGUUCUUUCUCCCUUAACUCAUAGUAUCUCUCUAGUCAUGACAGUUAAUUCUCAAGAUAAUAAUUAAGCUAUCUCUCUCCCAAGAUUCUAUUUCCUCUUAAAGCUACAGUAAUAGUAUCCAUAGUAUGUGUGGGAAGGGGAUAUUAAAGCUGGCAUUUUGCUAGUAAAAUUCUUUUAAAAAAUCUCAACAGGUGUCUUGGCAGAACUAAAAGGAAGCAUGGCUUGUGAUCACAGCUCAGUCAUACAAGGAAAGAUUUAGGAUCUCCACAGCCUGAGGAUGGAAAGGUAACAGUGGAAAGGAGGGAUCUCUAUCAUUCUAGCAACUAUGGGGAUAUGGAUUGGAACUGACAAUUUUAGUGACUGGCAACCUGAUAGCAUCCUCUCAAGACCAUCACUGGCCAAUCACAUCCAUAUGGGAGAACUGUUUGUGUUGUCACCUCCUCCCAGGACAUCUCUCUACCAAUGUACACAUGGAAAAGGGGAAAGAAUGUGGUUGUUCUGAAGAGCUGUGAUUACUUUCUAGGGGGGACCCUCAAGAAAAAAUCCAUAUAAAAAUUAGUAUUGACUACAGUGGAAGGGACUCUCAUGUGAUGUGUAUAGAGGGGAUGGGUGAGCAAUUCUUGACAAUGUGAACAGGAUAGCUGAGGAACCUAGAAAAUUUGGCCAUAGCAUUUUAAGGGCAUAUUCUUUCCUACUAUAUUUGUCUCUCUAUUCUGCCUUUAGUUAAAGAAAAUUAAAAAUUAGAAAAAUUUUGACCACCAGAAAAAGGCCCC
rnacentral:lncRNA from 1 species